rnacentral:rRNA from 1 species
AGAGUUUGAUCCUGGCUCAGAAUGAACGCUGGCGGCAUGCCUAACACAUGCAAGUCGAACGAGAUCUUCGGAUCUAGUGGCGCACGGGUGAGUAACGCGUGGGAACCUACCUUUUAGUAUGGGACAACGUUUGGAAACGAACGCUAAUACCGUAUACGCCCUCCGGGGGAAAGGUCAGCCGCUAAAAGAGGGGCCCGCGUCUGAUUAGCUUGUUGGUAAGGUAAUGGCUUACCAAGGCUACGAUCAGUAGCUGGUCUGAGAGGAUGAUCAGCCACACUGGGACUGAGACACGGCCCAGACUCCUACGGGAGGCAGCAGUGGGGAAUAUUGGACAAUGGAGGCAACUCUGAUCCAGCAAUGCCGCGUGUGUGAUGAAGGCCCUAGGGUUGUAAAGCACUUUCAACGGUGAAGAUGAUGACGGUAGCCGUAGAAGAAGCCCCGGCUAACUUCGUGCCAGCAGCCGCGGUAAUACGAAGGGGGCGAGCGUUAUUCGGAAUUAUUGGGCGUAAAGGGCUCGCAGGCUGCUUGAACAGUUAGACGUGAAAUCCCCGGGCUCAACCUGGGAACUGCGUUUAAUACUAGCAAGCUAGAGAAAUAGAGAGGAAAGUGGAACUCCCAGUGUAGAGGUGAAAUUCGUAGAUAUUGGGAAGAACACCAGUGGCGAAAGC